rnacentral:rRNA from 1 species
UGGGGAAUUUUCCGCAAUGGGCGAAAGCCUGACGGAGCAAUACCGCGUGAGGGAAGACGGCUUUUGGGUUGUAAACCUCUUUUCUCUGGGAAGAAGAUCUGACGGUACCAGAGGAAUCAGCAUCGGCUAACUCCGUGCCAGCAGCCGCGGUAAUACGGAGGAUGCAAGCGUUAUCCGGAAUUAUUGGGCGUAAAGGGUCCGCAGGUGGUUUAUCAAGUCUGUUGUCAAAGCGUGGAGCAUAACUCCAUAUCGGCAAUGGAAACUGAGUAACUAGAGUACAGUAGGGGUUGCGGGAAUUCCCAGUGUAGCGGUGAAAUGCGUAGAUAUUGGGAAGAACACCAGCGGCGAAAGCGCGCAACUGGGCUGAGACUGACACUGAGGGACGAAAGCUAGGGGAGCGAAAGGGAUUAGAUACCCCUGUAGUCCUAGCCGUAAACGAUGGACACUAGGUGUUGCGCGUAUCGACCCGUGCAGUGCCGUAGCUAACGCGUUAAGUGUCCCGCCUGGGGAGUACGCACGCAAGUGUG